UGAGAAGGAGAAAAAAAUCAGAUUUUAAUAAAGGAGCAAAUCUCGGCCAUAUCUCCAACAAACAUAUCUACCAACGUCUUAUAUCUCUUUCAACGCCACCAUUCUUCCAAAACCCUACCAAAGAAAACCGAGAGAGUUAGGAAUGAGAGAAAGGGCGUGGCGGUGGUGCCGUGUUGAGAAGAAGGCUGCAAAAGCUCCAACAGCGGGGCUGGACGGCGACGACUCCUACUCCGAUCAGCAGCCUCGCAACCGACGGACAACAGUAACGCGCUGAUGAAGCUCCGAGGAGGCAGCGGCGGCGGCGGUGUCACAACGAGGGGCUGGUGGAUCAAAGAGAGAGGGCUGGAGAUGGAGCGACGGCUGAGCAGCAACGUUAGUUCAGCGACAAUGAUAGAUGGAGGAGUGACAGCGGCGGUGCGAAGCUGAUCGGGACAGCGAUGGCCCAGCUUGUACGCUCGACGAAUCCCGAACAGCAGCGGCUGUUCUCAGCAGCAGCAAUCACGGCUGCUCAUGACGGACAGCGGCUACGAUGGCAGAGAAUUACACCGAACAGCAGCGGCGUUAAGCGCUGCCUGACGAUAAAUGGUGGACAGAGACGACGAGCCCAUGGCUGCGGCGAAAUCGCCGCUGUGAUUUCUGCAGCGAUGGCGUGGUGUUGAGCAAAUCGGAGCAGCGAUGGAGAGGGGGAAUGGCGUGAGGAAGUACAGGAGGGAGUAUUUGGGGAGUUUAGUUGCUGGAUUAGAAUGUUGAGAGAGAGACGUGGGGUACUACAGAGUUGGUUAAUGAUUUAAUUAGGAGACUUAGGCCGCUGGUUUAUUUGAGUUGGACUGGAAUUUGAAUACAAGAAUGACGAGAGCUUCGGCGGAGUUAAUACAUGGAUGAAUACGACGUUCUAAGAUUACGGGAAAAUUUCAGAAUCUUCUAAGUAAGAUCGAAGGAGUACAUCGAAUUAAUGGGUGACGUUGAGCAUGCUAUUUGAGGACGGAAUGAAACACACAUUAAGGCUUUAAACGAUCGAGGUUGAGCUGUGACGAGCGCGGUGGGUGUUGAGAGAGCUGGUGAAGAGUUGUGUUUGCUUUUAAAUAUUCCGAAUAUAUUAUGUCUUCAUACAUAAUAUGAUUCUUCUCUCGAAUGCUUCCGCUGAAUGUUGUUUCUUUCGAGUUCAUUUAUUGAUGAGAUAUUGUAUUCCUUUGAGUUGUUAGCUGUUGAGAUAAUACUCUGAUUUUAUUCGAAUUGCCCCUAUUAUUUCGAGCUAUGGUCGAGUUUCGUUUAUUUCCCCUUUCUUCCCCGCUUCUUUAAUCCUCCCCUAGUCACGAUCAACCGUGUUUUCUAUCCUUAGAAAAUGUGGUCGUGACAAAGAACCCUUGAAGAAGUUCCUACACACGUCAAAACUAAUCAUCUAUUUGAAUUAGUGUGUGAUAUUGCUAGAUCUGCAAUUGGAAGCCCAACAACUUCUGUUCAAUCGGUGGAAGAAAAGUGUGUAAAGUUGCCAUAGUCAUUUCUUCAAGACAAAGAUGAGGCAUUUGACAACUGUAAAAGAAUCUGUGAAUCAAUAGUUACUGUCGAAAAGAAAAAGGAAGCACUUGAAGAUUUGACUGAAUUUCCAACUUUCAAAUGGAGAGAUUGCUAUAACAAAACUGCUGAAGAAGAAAUACAUGAAGAACAAGAAAAGGAACAAGAACAAGGACAAGGAUCAAAAGAGGACACAUCAUGCGGUGUCAAUAAUGAAUCAGCGUCUCCUAUGUCACCAACUGUUCUAGAAUCUGAUAACAAGAGGAUUAAGACAGAAAAUCAGAAAGAUCUUGAAUAGGAAGAUAAGGAGAACCAAGAUGACGCACAUUUUGAAACGGACAGACAAAAUCCAUUGGAUAAAGAAGAUAAUAUUGUUGAGACUGCUGAUGAAGAAGUACAUGAAGAACAAGAUAAUGAAGAACAAGAAGAAGGAGAAGCAUCAAAAGAGAACAAAACAUGUGGCGUCAAUAAUGAAUCAGUGUCUCCUAUAUCUACACCUGUACUAGAAUCUGUACUAGAAUCUGAUAACAAGGGGGGUGAGAUAGAAAAUCAGAAAGAUCUUGUACAGUUGAAACAACUUGAAGAUAAGGAGAAUCAAGAUGACACACAUGUUGAAACGGACAGAGAAAAUCCACUGGAUAAAGAAGAUAAUAUUGUUGAGUUGACAGGAGAAAGAAACAGAAUACAUAUCCCUACAUCGCCAGUUUCUGAUCCUAAAGGGGCUGUUGAAGAAAAAGAAGAAGAAGGAACAAAAGAAGACACAGUGGGUGAUGACAAUAGUGAAUCAGCCUCUCCUAUCUCACCACCAGCUGCAGGUCCAAUGGAUGACGCACAUGUUGAAAUGAACAAAGCAAAGCAACAGGAGAAAGGAAAAGAGAAAGAAGAGAAUAUUGUUAAAGUAAAGUAACUGAAACUAAGAUUAAAUAGUAUAUUGUUUUUAUAAAAUGACUGAAUUGUUGUUGAAAUGGCUUGAAAGUGUGGUUGACAUUUGGUUAUAAUUGUUAUUGACAUGAUUUGUACGUGUAGGUAUCAUGUCUUAUAAUUGUUGUUGGCAUGAAUUUUAUUUGCUCUUAACAUGGUUCUGUGUGUAGCAGAUAUAGUACGUACAC